UACGUAGGGGGCAAGCGUUGUUCGGAAUCACUGGGCGUAAAGCGCACGUAGGCGGAUCUUUAAGUCAGGGGUGAAAUCCCGAGGCUCAACCUCGGAACUGCCUUUGAUACUGGGGAUCUCGAGUCCGGGAGAGGUGAGUGGAACUGCGAGUGUAGAGGUGAAAUUCGUAGAUAUUCGCAAGAACACCAGUGGCGAAGGCGGCUCACUGGCCCGAUACUGACGCUGGAGGCACGAAAGCGUGGGGAGCAAACAGG
rnacentral:rRNA from 1 species